CACGAGAGCUGGUACUGUGCCAGAAAUUGGAUCGUCCUGUGAAGCCGAGAUGUCAUGGCCAGCGUGAACUUCAAACCGCCACAGGUAACCACUCUGCGAU